AUUGAACGCUGGCGGCAUGCCUUACACAUGCAAGUCGAACGGCAGCACGGGUGCUUGCACCUGGUGGCGAGUGGCGAACGGGUGAGUAAUACAUCGGAACGUACCUUAUCGUGGGGGAUAACGCAGCGAAAGUUGCGCUAAUACCGCAUACGCCCUGAGGGGGAAAGCGGGGGACCGUAAGGCCUCGCGCGAUUAGAGCGGCCGAUGUCUGAUUAGCUUGUUGGUGAGGUAAAAGCUCACAAAGGCGAUGAUCAGUAGCUGGUCUGAGAGGACGAUCAGCCACACUGGGACUGAGACACGGCCCAGACUCCUACGGGAGGCAGCAGUGGGGAAUUUUGGACAAUGGGCGAAAGCCUGAUCCAGCCAUGCCGCGUGAGUGAAGAAGGCCUUCGGGUUGUAAAGCUCUUUCGGCUGGGAAGAAAUCGCACAGGCUAAUACUCUGUGUGGAUGACGGUACCAGCACAAGAAGCACCGGCUAACUACGUGCCAGCAGCCGCGGUAA
rnacentral:rRNA from 1 species